ACAUGCCUACAACAUAGCGUUAAUGCACCGGAUCCCAUUAGAACUUCGCAGUUAAGCGUGCUCGAGCUAGAGUAGUACUGGGAUGGGUGACCUCACGGGAAGUCCUAGUGUUUUACAUGCU
rfam:Picea glauca, whole genome shotgun sequence.